GUUUACGGCCAUACCAGCCUGGGUACGCCCGAUCUCGUCUGAGCUUGGAAGUUAAGCAUGGUCUGGCCUGGUUAGUACUUGGAUGGGAGACCGCCUGGGAAUACCUGGUGCUGUAAGGU
ensembl:rRNA 5S_rRNA 5S ribosomal RNA